ACACAUGCAAGUGGAGCGACGAACCGGGGCUUGCCCCGGGCCAGAGCCGCGAACGGGUGAGUAACACGUGGGUUACCUGCCCCGAUGACUGGGACAACCCGUCGAAAGACGGGCUAAUACCGGAUGUGCCCCUUGGGGGAAAGGAAGCUUCGGCCUCCGCAUCGGGAUGGGCCCGCGGCGCAUUAGCUUGUUGGUGGGGUAAUGGCUUACCAAGGCGACGAUGCGUAGCUGGUCUGAGAGGACGAUCAGCCACACUGGGACUGAGACACGGCCCAGACUCCUACGGGAGGCAGCAGUGGGGAAUCUUGCACAAUGCGCGAAAGCGUGAUGCAGCAACGCCGCGUGCGGGAAGAAGGCCUUAGGGUUGUAAACCGCUUUCAGUUGGGACGAAGCUUCAGUCGUUAAUAGCGGUUUGGAGUGACGGUACCUUCAGAAGAAGCGCCGGCUAACUACGUGCCAGCAGCCGCGGUAAUACGUAGGGCGCGAGCGUUGUCCGGAAUCAUUGGGCGUAAAGCGCGUGUAGGCGGCUGAGUAAGUCUGCUGUGAAAGUCUAGGGCUCAANCCUGGAAUGUCGGCGGAUACUGCUCAGCUGGAGU
rnacentral:rRNA from 1 species